rnacentral:lncRNA from 12 species
GGACCGGGAAGUUCUGGAGGGGACGCAGCGAGCCUCGGAGCCCGGAGCAGGCCGCCGGGCCGAGCAGGGCGGCGGGUCUCUCGGGAGCGGCGCCCGGAACUCCGAGGCUCGGGGGCACGUCCCUGGCCCGACCGGGAGGCGAGCCCUCCUCAAGGGCAAGGGGGGCUCCGGCUCAGGCAAACCAGGCUCCGGCUCGAGCCAGCCGGGGCCCGCCGCCCGCAGGGCCGGGGGAGGGGAACAAAGGGGCCAAGCGGGUCAGCCCGCAGCUGCCCGGCCGACCUCCCCCGCAGCCGGGGUCUCGCUCCCCGCACGCCGCUGGGCAUCCCGGCCCCGGCCCCGGCCCCAGGCCGGGCCCUCCCCACCGCCACCGCCGAGGGCGCUCCCGCCCCCCCAGCCCUCAAGCUCGUACCCAAGCCGGUCGUCCCAAACACUCCGGUCCAGUUCCACGCAGGCCGCGGGCAGAGCCAGGCCCGGCCGCGGCCCUCGAGUUACCAGGAAGCCGCAGGCCGCGCAGGUCGAGCCGGGCAGGCGGCACAGGAAAAGCCGCGCCUCGUCCCUCCCCUUCCUCCGCGGGGACCUGGUGACGGGGAAGCGAGAGGUUCCCCCGACCGGCGGCAGCCAGCGCACGUCCGGUCCCCGGCACGCGGCUCCUCAGGCCUGAAGCUCAGAGGCCCGCGCGGCGCUGCCGGCGGCGGCGGGGGCUGGCCGCGUCCAUCGCGAUCCCGGACGGGGAAGGGAGGAGGGUCGGGCGGGAGCGGGGCGGGAGCGGGGCGGGAGCGGGGCGGGAGCGGGGCGGGGCAGCUGCGGAGGGCAGCCGAGCUCGGCGGAGGCGGAGCAAAUCGGCUCUCCCGGCGGCGACCCCAGCGGCCGCCACGUGGGGCGCUGCGGAGACCCGGAGGCCGGCAGCCGGCGGCGCAGUCGGCCCAACCUGGGGCGCCGGGCGGCCGGACGCGUGGCCGCCACCCCCGGGACGCUCUGGCCCUGCUGGCCUCGGACUCCCUUGUCAGCUGUCGCUUUUCGGUCGCACUCGCGGUCCCAGCGGCCCCGCACACGGGUGCACGCCCGCGCAGCCCGCUGUGCCCCGCGCCUACACACGUCGCGCGCUCCCGCCGGGAGGCCCCACGCCCCACGCCCCACGCCCCACGCCGUAGCCGCGGCCGCCUGCCCGGGCCGAGCCGCCCCGCUCCCCCCGCUCCCCCCGCUCCCCCCGCAGCUCCCUCCGCCCCGCGCGGCCGCGCUUCUCGCCGCCCUCCUCGCGCAUGUGCGUCGCGGGAGGAAAGCACCUCCUGGGGGGCCCGGGAGGCGAGCCGCCCGCACUUCACCGCAAGGAAAACCUUUCACCACAACCCUGGACAGCAAUCUUUUCGAGCAUUAUCUCCAUCGCACUGA